rnacentral:siRNA from 1 species
GUACUAUCAGAGAUAGGGUA